GACGAACGCUGGCGGCGUGCCUAAUACAUGCAAGUCGAACGAAGCUUUCUUUCACCGAAUGCUUGCAUUCACCGAAAGAAGCUUAGUGGCGAACGGGUGAGUAACACGUAGGCAACCUGCCCAAAAGAGGGGGAUAACACUUGGAAACAGGUGCUAAUACCGCAUAACCAUGAACACCGCAUGAUGUUCAUGUAAAAGACGGCUUUUGCUGUCACUUUUGGAUGGGCCUGCGGCGUAUUAACUUGUUGGUGGGGUAACGGCCUACCAAGGUGAUGAUACGUAGCCGAACUGAGAGGUUGAUCGGCCACAUUGGGACUGAGACACGGCCCAAACUCCUACGGGAGGCAGCAGUAGGGAAUCUUCCACAAUGGACGAAAGUCUGAUGGAGCAACGCCGCGUGAAUGAAGAAGGCCUUCGGGUCGUAAAAUUCUGUUGUCAGAGAAGAACGUGCGUGAGAGUAACUGUUCACGUAUUGACGGUAUCUGACCAGAAAGCCACGGCUAACUACGUGCCAGCAGCCGCGGUAAUACGUAGGUGGCGAGCGUUGUCCGGAUUUAUUGGGCGUAAAGGGAACGCAGGCGGUCUUUUAAGUCUGAUGUGAAAGCCUUCGGCUUAACCGAAGUAGUGCAUUGGAAACUGGAAGACUUGAGUGCAGAAGAGGAGAGUGGAACUCCAUGUGUAGCGGUGAAAUGCGUAGAUAUAUGGAAGAACACCAGUGGCGAAAGCGGCUCUCUGGUCUGUAACUGACGCUGAGGUUCGAAAGCGUGGGUAGCAAACAGGAUUAGAUACCCUGGUAGUCCACGCCGUAAACGAUGAGUGCUAAGUGUUGGAGGGUUUCCGCCCUUCAGUGCUGCAGCUAACGCAUUAAGCACUCCGCCUGGGGAGUACGGUCGCAAGACUGAAACUCAAAGGAAUUGACGGAANGG
rnacentral:rRNA from 1 species